AGUUAUUUAGCUUAUAUUAAAAGCACGUACCUUGAAAGUACGAGAAAGAGUAAUUUAAUAACUU
rnacentral:tRNA from 1 species